CAGUCGCCACGGGAAUACGAAGGGUGCAAGCGUUACUCGGAAUUACUGGGCGUAAAGCGUGCGUAGGUGGUGGUUUAAGUCCGUUGUGAAAGCCCUGGGCUCAACCUGGGAAUUGCAGUGGAUACUGGGUCACUAGAGUGUGGUAGAGGAUAGUGGAAUUUCCGGUGUAGCAGUGAAAUGCGUAGAGAUCGGAAGGAACAUCUGUGGCGAAGGCGACUAUCUGGGCCAACACUGACACUGAGACACGAAAGCGUGGGGAGCAAACAGGAUUAGAUACCCCAGUAGUCCCUGUCUCUUAUAA
rnacentral:rRNA from 1 species